AAGUAGCCGUUGGAGGCCAGCUAGAACGCACGACACAUCCUCCUUUAUAACGGCCUUGAUGUUGAAGGUAUUCGUAGUUUUAUCGUACGAAAAAAUUCCUUGUAACUAACUUUUGAUAAAGGGUAGGAUAUUUUUGUAACUCUAAGUUAUUAAUAAUGUUAAUGUUUCAAAUGUUUUCUUUGAAAUAGGUAUAUCCAUC
rnacentral:lncRNA from 1 species